rnacentral:rRNA from 1 species
UCAAGCGACUAAGUGUAUGUGGUGGAUGCCUUGGCGAUCACAGGCGAUGAAGGACGUGACAGCCUGCGAAAAGCUGUGGGGAGCUGGCAAAUAAGCUUUGAUCCACAGAUGUCCGAAUGAGGGAACUCACCUGCUUUGCAGGUAUCCCAUCCUGAAUAUAUAGGGAUGGGAGGCGAACGAAGCGAACUGAAACAUCUAAGUAGCUUCAGGAAAAGAAAUCAACCGAGAUUCCGAAAGUAGCGGCGAGCGAAAUCGGAUCAGCCCAGCACUCGAUAGCAGCCAACUUACGGGAACGGUCUGGAAAGUCCGGCCAUAGAGGGUGAUAGCCCCUUACUGGAAAAGGCAGCUGUGGUACUAAGUGUGCGAUAAGUAGAGCGGGACACGUGACAUCCUGCUCGAAGAUGGGGGGACCAUCCUCCAAGGCUAAAUACUCGUGAUCGACCGAUAGCGUACCAGUACUGUGAAGGAAAGGUUAAAAGAACCCCGGGAGGGGAGUGAAAUAGAUCCUGAAACCGCAUACAUACAAACAGUAGGAGCCUCGUUAAGGGGUGACUGCGUACCUUUUGCAUAAUGGGUCAGCGACUUACGUUUAAUGGCGAGCUUAACCGUAUAGGGGAGGCGCAGCGAAAGCGAGUUCGAACAGAGCGUUCAGUCGUUAGGCGUAGACCCGAAACCAGAUGAUCUAUCCAUGGCCAGGUUGAAGGUGUGGUAACACACACUGGAGGACCGAACCGACUAGUGUUGCAAAAUUAGCGGAUGAGCUGUGGAUAGGGGUGAAAGGCUAAACAAAUCUGGAGAUAGCUGGUUCUCCCCGAAAACUAUUGAGGUAGUGCCUCGUGUGUCGCUCCAGGGGGUAGAGCACUGUUUUGGCUAGGGGGACAUGGAGUCUUACCAAACCAAGGCAAACUCCGAAUACCUGGAAGCGUGAGCACGGGAGACAGAGCACCGGGUGCUAACGUCCGGACUCAAAAGGGAAACAACCCAGACCGCCGGCUAAGGUCCCAAAUAACAGCUAAGUGGAAAACGAAGUGGAAAGGCCGUGACAACCAGGAAGUUGGCUUAGAAGCAGCCAUCCUUCAAAGAAAGCGUAAUAGCUCACUGGUCGAGUCCUUCUGCGCGGAAGAUGUAACGGGGCUAAGCUGUUAACCGAAGCCGCGGAUGCACUGGUUAUCCAGUGCGUGGUAGGGGAGCGUUCUGUAAGUCUGCGAAGGCGGUUCGAGAGGACUGCUGGAGAUAUCAGAAGUGCGAAUGCUGACAUGAGUAACGUUAAAGCAGGUGAAAAGCCUGCUCGCCGUAAGCCCAAGGAUUCCUGCUCUACGUUCAUCGGAGCAGGGUGAGUCGGCUCCUAAGGUCAGGCCGAAAGGCGUAGCCGAUGGGAAUCAGGUUAAUAUUCCUGAACCUGCGUCAGAUGCGAUGGGGGGACGGAGCAUGGAAGAUCAUCCGGGUGUUGGAAGUCCCGGUUGUUUAGCGUAGGAGGUCUGCAGGCAAAUCCGCAGACGCAUCUCCAAGGCAAAGACACGUGCCGCCACGGCGGCGAAGUGAUCGGAAGUGCUUCCAAGAAAAGCCUCUAAGCCCCAGUCUGAUGCGGACCGUACCGCAAACCGACACUGGUGGGCGAGCUGAAUAUGCUCAGGCGCUUGAGAGAACUCGGGAGAAGGAACUCGGCAAAUUGACACCGUAACUUCGGAAGAAGGUGUGCCGUAGUACCGUGAGAGGAGAGACACCUUGAGCGGGAAACGGUCUCAGAGAAUAGGUGGCUGCGACUGUUUAUUAAAAACACAGCACUCUGCAAAGUCGAAAGACGACGUAUAGGGUGUGAUGCCUGCCCGGUGCUGGAAGAUUAAUUGAUGGGGUGAGAGCCCUUGAUCGAAGUCCCAGUAAACGGCGGCCGUAACUAUAACGGUCCUAAGGUAGCGAAAUUCCUUGUCGGGUAAGUUCCG